rnacentral:misc_RNA from 1 species
GUGAAUCAUCAAAUUUUUGAACGCAAAUUGCGCUUCCUGGCAUUCCGGGAAGUAUGCCUGUUUGAGGGUCAGUAUUAACAUAAAUUUGGUUCGGUUGCAAAUUGUGAUGUUUCCGGAGACUGGGUUAUUUUAACUAUUUUGGUUAAGGGGCUUAAAAUUGACCUUUUUUGUGCUUUUUUAGACGUACAUAAAUUUUUUUUUUUUUCGUUUAUUCUUAAUUCCAAAAUCUAAUUAAAUGCGAUCACAU